CUACUGCUAUUGGGAUUCGAUUAAGCCAUGCAAGUCGAACGANUUUAUAUUCGUGGCAUACGGCUCAGUAACACGUGGAUAACUUACCCUUAGGAUCGGGAUAAUCCUGGGAAACUGGGGCUAAUACUGAAUAGGCAAUUUUUUUCUGGAAUGGUUGUUUUGUUUAAAUGUUUUUUUUCGCCUGAGGAUAGGUCUGCGGCCGAUUAGGUUGUUGGUAAGGUAAUGGCUUACCAAGCCAGUUAUCGGUACAGGUUGUGAGAGCAAGGGCCUGGAGAUGGAACCUGAGACAAGGUUCCAGACCCUACGGGGUGCAGCAGGCGCGAAACCUCCGCAAUGUGAGAAAUCGCGACGGGGGGAUCC
rnacentral:rRNA from 1 species